CUCCAGACUCCUACGGGAGGCAGCAGUGGGGAAUAUUGCACAAUGGGGGGAACCCUGAUGCAGCGACGCCGCGUGAGCGAUGAAGUAUUUCGGUAUGUAAAGCUCUAUCAGCAGGGAAGAAAAUGACGGUACCUGACUAAGAAGCCCCGGCUAACUACGUGCCAGCAGCCGCGGUAAUACGUAGGGGGCAAGCGUUAUCCGGAUUUACUGGGUGUAAAGGGAGCGUAGACGGCUGUGCAAGUCUGGAGUGAAAGGCAUGGGCUCAACCCGUGGACUGCUUUGGAAACUGUGCGGCUUGAGUGUCGGAGAGGCAAGUGGAAUUCCUAGUGUAGCGGUGAAAUGCGUAGAUAUUAGGAGGAACACCAGUGGCGAAGGCGGUCUGCUGGACAGCAACUGACGCUGAGGCGCGAAAGCGUGGGGAGCAAACAGGAUUAGAUACCCUGGUAAA
rnacentral:rRNA from 1 species